rnacentral:lncRNA from 1 species
UGUUUAGACUGAUCUUGAGCUCGUUGGAUUCUGUUCAUCAUCGCGGACUUCACUAUAAGCUCAGUGUGGGUCGAAUCUCGAGGCAUCAAAUCUUAAUAAUCUCUACCUUGACUCGACAUUCGGUCUCCUCCUAACUUUGAGAGCUUCUGGAUCUCCUUGUCUCCAUACCCUAGGGUAAUCGCCUGCUGAUCAUGAAUGGACAGACAUAGAAGUUGAGCUAGGCCG